CUCAGGGAGGUAGUGACAAGAAAUAACAACACUGGAAAUUUUAUUUCUAGUGAUUGGAAUGAUGGGAAUUUAAACCCCUUUCAGAGUAACAAUUGGAGGGCAAGUCUGGUGCCAGCAGCCGCGGUAAUUCCAGCUCCAAUAGCGUAUAUUAAAGUUGUUGCAGUUAAAAAGCUCGUAGUUGGAUGUCUGCUGGAAGCAAUCAGUCCGCCCUAUUUGUAGGGUGUGCACUUGAUGAAUUCUGGCAUCUAUGUCCCGAUAAGAGAACGGGUAUGUAAUUAGCUGUUGGGCGAAAGUUCAAUAGCUGUUGCAUAUCCGUUUAUUGGGAUAAUACUGUUACUUUGAGGAAAUUAGAGUGUUUGAAGCAGGCUAAUUGCCUUGAAUACUGCAGCAUGGAAUAACAAUAUAGGAUUUCGGUUCUAUUUUGUUGGUUUCUAGGACUGAAAUAAUGAUUAAUAGGGACAGUUGGGGGCAUUCGUAUUUAACUGUCAGAGGUGAAAUUCUUAGAUUUGUUAAAGACGAACUACUGCGAAAGCAUUUGCCAAAGAUGUUUUCAUUAAUCAAGAACGAAAGUUAGGGGCUCGAAGACGAUCAGAUACCGUCGUAGUCUUAACCAUAAACUAUGCCGACUAGAGAUAGGAAAAUGUCAUUUUGCUGACUU
rnacentral:rRNA from 1 species